GGGGAUGUAAUUCAGUGGUAGAACACUUGCCUAGUACGUGUGAGGCCCUGGGUUCAAUUCCCAGCACCA
rnacentral:tRNA from 1 species